AACCUGCCCCAAAGCGGGGGAUAACAUUUGGAAACAGAUGCUAAUACCGCAUAACCACAGAAACCACAUGGUUUCUGUGUCAAAGAUGGUUUCGGCUAUCACUUUGGGAUGGACCCGCGGCGUAUUAGCUAGUUGGUAAGGUAAUGGCUUACCAAGGCAAUGAUACGUAGCCGAACUGAGAGGUUGAUCGGCCACAUUGGGACUGAGACACGGCCCAAACUCCUACGGGAGGCAGCAGUAGGGAAUCUUCCACAAUGGACGAAAGUCUGAUGGAGCAACGCCGCGUGAGUGAAGAAGGUUUUCGGAUCGUAAAACUCUGUUGUCAGAGAAGAACGUGUGCGAGAGUAACUGUUCGUGCAGUGACGGUAUCUGGCCAGAAAGCCACGGCUAACUACGUGCCAGCAGCCGCGGUAAUACGUAGGUGGCAAGCGUUGUCCGGAUUUAUUGGGCGUAAAGGGAACGCAGGCGGUCUUUUAAGUCUGAUGUGAAAGCCUUCGGCUUAACCGAAGUCGUGCAUUGGAAACUGGGAGACUUGAGUGCAGAAGAGGAGAGUGGAACUCCAUGUGUAGCGGUGAAAUGCGUAGAUAUAUGGAAGAACACCAGUGGCGAAAGCGGCUCUCUGGUCUGUAACUGACGCUGAGGUUCGAAAGCGUGGGUAGCAAACAGGAUUAGAUACCCUGGUAGUCCACGCUGUAAACGAUGAAUGCUAAGUGUUGGAAGGGUUUCCGCCCUUCAGUGCCGCAGCAAACGCAUUAAGCAUUCCGCCUGGGGGAGUACGACCGCAAGGUUGAAACUCAAAGGGAAUUGAC
rnacentral:rRNA from 1 species